GAUGAACGCUGGCGGCGUGCCUAAUACAUGCAAGUCGAGCGAACGGACGAGAAGCUUGCUUUUCUGAUGUUAGCGGCGGACGGGUGAGUAACACGUGGAUAACCUACCUAUAAGACUGGGAUAACUUCGGGAAACCGGAGCUAAUACCGGAUAAUAUUUUGAACCGCAUGGUUCAAAAGUGAAAGACGGUCUUGCUGUCACUUAUAGAUGGAUCCGCGCUGCAUUAGCUAGUUGGUAAGGUAACGGCUUACCAAGGCAACGAUGCAUAGCCGACCUGAGAGGGUGAUCGGCCACACUGGAACUGAGACACGGUCCAGACUCCUACGGGAGGCAGCAGUAGGGAAGCUUCCGCAAAGGGCGAAAGCCUGAAGGAGCAACGCCGCGUGAGUGAUGAAGGUCUUCGGAUCGUAAAACUCUGUUAUUAGGGAAGAACAUAUGUGUAAGUAACUGUGCACAUCUUGACGGUACCUAAUCAGAAAGCCACGGCUAACUACGUG
rnacentral:rRNA from 1 species